UGCCCAGCAACUCCUAUCCCUACCUUCUCGUGGUACUGGCCGGGGUACGAGUAACCUUAGGGAAGAUCGGGUAAACAACCCCCGAUGUGAACUUUGGUCGUAUGCUGACAAGGAAGG
rnacentral:ribozyme from 1 species